rnacentral:lncRNA from 1 species
AUGUUUGAGGAUUCUGAAGUCGAAGAUCCAUUGUCACCGAGUUUAAAUGAAAAGCAUGAUGAACAAAAUUCAGAACAUCGUGAAUCAGCGAGCCCCGACAAUACAUGGGAAGUCCCAGACAUCGUCGUCAUCAAAGAGGAGGAGGAGGAGGGCUGGACUGUGAGUGAAAACAAUGAGAGCUCAGAUGGAGGAAAAGUUGACCUGUGUGGGGAAAAGACGCGUGUUUCAGAGGACUCGAGUGGUCCGUCUUCGAGGGAGGGGAGUGAAACAACUGUGAGAGAAAAACCUACGGUUUCCCACAAGUGUGGACGACUGCGGGGGAAUGGAACUGUGCAUCAGUCCAGUUAUACAAUAUGUGAGAAGACUUUUGUCCACAAGAAGAACAACACAUCCAACCAGAGGUCCACGACAGACUUCAGCGACGCACAAGAACAGAAUCCUGAAGUCAAACGAAGCACAGAUGCAGAGCCCAACGGGACCAAACUAUCAGCACUUUACCAAACAGGACCCAAAUUGGCAUCAACCUCGGAGGACCAAACGCCCCAUGUGACUGUCAGGUUGCAGGAUGGGGAGGAAGAGGAGGAACAAGAGGAAGAAAUUUGUGGUUUAAUCAACUCAGAUGGCAAAGUGGUUGAAUGGGAACGAAAUAAUCCAGGCCAGAGUCCCGAUUGCACCCAAAGUCUUCAGCACAAUGAGCAGGAAAGUUCCAGGUCACAGCUUCAACAGAGAGACAGUUGCAGCCCAACACUCAUCAUGGAAGUUGUGGAAGUUGAAAAAGAGCCUAGAGAGGAGGCGGAGGAGAAUGAGAGAGCUUCAAAGGUGGCUGCUUUCUCCUCCUCGCGCAGCGGAAAGAGACAAAGGAAAAACAAAAAGGUUCCAGAAGUUACAGUGGUCUUAUUGGAUGCAAAUGACACUGAGAAAAGUGCAAAUCCUGUACAACACAGGGGUCGAAGAAAGAGCUCAGAAGUUCCAAAUGUGCCUCGUGAAGACUUGGAGGCCGAGGCAGUUCCACGGCGCACGCGAAGAAGGACACAUCCCCCAGCACUCGUGGAAACAGACUCUCCAACUGCAGGUCGGAAAAAAGCAGUUUAG